GCUGCCAAAUAUGCUAUGUUUACCAAUUUCUAGGUUUGUGUUCGCAAUCACUUGGAGCACCUAGCAACCUCAAAACGAUCGACUUUCACAAUGGAAUCUGCUUUCAAAGAUGGCAUGUAAUGAUUAGCAUGUCCGACGGGAGUAAACCCAUGAAUCACGGAAUCUGCAAAUAGUAUUAUCCAACAAAGAAUCAGGAAAUAAAUUAAAACUAUUAUGUUAAAUAAGUGUGAUAGAUCGAAGAUUAACUUACCUUUUCAUCGAGGAAAAGAACCGUGAUUCCCACAAACUCCCUGUCUUUCUUGAAGUUCAGGGAAUCCCAUAAGCGGAGGAAGCCAGAGGCUAUGCUCUGACUACUAAGACCAAGACGGAGAGACUCGAAGGUUGAGUGACGGACGCCGGGAUGCCGGUUUGACGAACUGGAGAGGCAGAGAGAAACAUUUUCUAGAAGAUGGUUAAAGCUAAGAGGAAUCAAUGAGUUUUGUGGAGAUGCAGAUUGAGUUCAUCAAAGAUGAGAAUCAUAUAUAUAUGGUUUACAGAGGGGCUACAAAUCAG
rnacentral:lncRNA from 1 species